rnacentral:misc_RNA from 1 species
GAUGAAGAACGCAGCGAAAUGCGAUAAGUAAUGUGAAUUGCAGAAUUCAGUGAAUCAUCGAAUCUUUGAACGCACAUUGCGCCCGCCAGUAUUCUGGCGGGCAUGCCUGUUCGAGCGUCAUUUCAACCAUCAAGCCCUGCUUGCAUUGGGGUCCUGCGGCUGCCCGCAGGCCCUGAAAACCAGUGGCGGGCUCGCUAGUCACACCGAGCGCAGUAAUACAUCUCGCUUUGGGCGUGCGGCGGGUUCUUGCCGUUAAACACCCCCUUUUUACCAAGGUUGACCUCGGAUCAGGUAGGAAUACCCGCUGAACUUAAGCAUAUCAAUAAGCGGAGGA